UAAGGAAUAUUGGACAAUGGACGAAAGUCUGAUCCAGCCAUGCCGCGUGAAGGAUGAAUGUCCUCUGGAUUGUAAACUUCUUUUAUCUGGGACGAAAAAAGGGAAUUCUUUCUCGUCUGACGGUACCAGAUGAAUAAGCACCGGCUAACUCCGUGCCAGCAGCCGCGGUAAUACGGAGGGUGCAAGCGUUAUCCGGAUUCACUGGGUUUAAAGGGUGCGUAGGCGGGUAGGUAAGUCAGUGGUGAAAUCUCAGAGCUUAACUCUGAAACUGCCAUUGAUACUAUUUAUCUUGAAUAUUGUGGAGGUAAGCGGAAUAUGUCAUGUAGCGGUGAAAUGCUUAGAUAUGACAUAGAACACCCAUUGCGAAGGCAGCUUACUACACAUAUAUUGACGCUGAGGC
rnacentral:rRNA from 1 species